UAUAUCACAUGACAUGUGGAUUACGUAGCUAAUUAUUAACGGAUGGAGGUUGAGAGGAUAAGAUAUAAGAAAAGAUACUACAGCAGCCCUGCAGGACUCGUAUCACUUCUUCAGGUUCUGUGGAUUGUUAUUAUCUGUGGAAUAAAAAAGGAACUCAGACGUGCUCCACAGGCAGUGGAAGGAUCUUAGUACCUACAUCAAAGAAGAAGUUUGAGAGAAGUCACCAGAGUGCACAGGACGUAUUGAUGUAGCUUGGUGGUCCAUAAGCUCACGUGAAGAGUGUAAGCACCAACCUUCCCAGGAGCUCAGGUAAUUGCUAAGAUACACAGGACUGAAGUACAGCACUGAACUCAGAGGUUGCCUGGUCAGUGGAAUUUACCCUUCAAGGAAGAGCUGCAGAGCAAGUAGAAACACUCACAGCUGUAUUGUCAAAUACAGGGUGGAGAUUUUAAAGACUUUACAACUGACCUUGAAUUCUGAGCAGAUGACACUCCUAAGUGCUCAAGCCCCUUGGCUGUAACCAUUGGUGGUUGUGGCUUUUGCCAGAAAAGCAGAGAGGGCGCAGACCAUGAAAUG